AUUGAACGCUGGCGGCAUGCUUUACACAUGCAAGUCGAACGGCAGCGCGGGCUUCGGCCUGGCGGCGAGUGGCGAACGGGUGAGUAAUGCAUCGGAACGUGCCCAGACGUGGGGGAUAGCCCGGCGAAAGCCGGAUUAAUACCGCAUACGACCUGAGGGUGAAAGCGGGGGACCGAAAGGCCUCGCGCUAUUGGAGCGGCCGAUGUCGGAUGAGCUAGUUGGUGGGGUAAAGGCUUACCAAGGCGACGAUCCGUAGCUGGUCUGAGAGGACGACCAGCCACACUGGGACUGAGACACAGCCCAGACUCCUACGGGAGGCAGCAGUGGGGAAUUUUGGGCGAUGGGGGCAACCCUGAUCCAGCCAUGCCGCGUGCGGGAAGAAGGCCUUCGGGUUGUAAACCGCUUUUGUUCGGGAAGAAAUACUCUGGGCUAAUACCCCGGGAGGAUGACGGUACCGGAAGAAGAAGCACCGGCUAACUACGUG
rnacentral:rRNA from 1 species